rnacentral:ncRNA from 1 species
AGGAUGGCGGGCGGAGCUGGUUCGCCCGAUCCGUGAGGGUGGGGCGUCGUAAGAGGGAACCCGGUGCGAGACCGGGACUGCCCCGCAGCGGUGAGUGGGAACGACCGCCGUCACCAGAGCACUGGACCGCGAGGUCUGGGAAGCGACGGCCAGUAGGCGACCAGGUGUCACGCCCACGAGUCCGAAGACCUGCCAGCGCUGCGCACACCGC